rnacentral:lncRNA from 1 species
UAUAACGUAAUCUAUAUUAUAAAAUUAAAAAUAUAUGAAAUUAAAAUAUGUGUAAAUAGUAUGUUUUUUGUAACAAAGCAUAUAAAUUUAGGAAAUCAAGUUUUCAAAAUUAAAACACAAAUCUGACCCAUUUUAUCUCGUAAACAUUUAUAGAUAAAUGCAAUUAUUUUUAAAAUUAGCAAUCGAAAUAUUAACUUGAUGAUAAUUCGUCAUUCGAUGGUUGAAAUCACAAGAAUUUUUGCUGAAUUUUUCUAUCUCUUUUUUUCUUCUCUGAUAGCUCGGUAUUUACAAGUACUAUACUUCUCUCUCAUAAUAUAUGGAAGUAACUCGGAGCGUCACCUAACGUUGCAAAAUUAGUUCGCUUUUAGAUAGCGCACUGAGUAGAAUUUCACUACUAUUAUAAAUUAUUAUAAUUAUCAAGUUUAUAUAUUAUAUUUUCUUCUUUUGUUUUAUUUUGUCAAAAGCAAACUUUUUUUUACAUAACCUUUCUCGUUAAAACAAGAUGUAACAUGAAAUAUUAUAAUAUUUCAUGUAAUAUUUCGAAAAUAUUUUCAAAGAAAAAUUCGAAAACAAAAAAUCAAAUAUAUACAAAGUCAAAUCAACUGUCAAGACGAAUGAUUAAUAGAAUAAGUAGGUGACAUUGCUUGUGAAUGAUUAAAAUAUAGUCGAAUAUGUUUUUAUUUAGAAGAAGAUACUAAAAAUCAAUUAAUUAUUUUUGCUGGACAGCUAUGUAAGUAAAAGCAUAUUAAAAAAGUAGAAAAUAAAGAUUAUGUAUACAAUGUUCUGUGUUUGAGUAUGUGUAUACGAAUCACGUAGUAAUUUUUUUUCGAUAAGCGGUAAAAAAGUUAAAAUUUUUGAAAAUGUAUUUAAUUCCGUAAGGAUAUCGAUGAAGAAUAAUAUUUCAGAGAAUGAACAAUAAAAAUACAAAGAUCAAUGUACUAAAAGUCACACCAAUUCCGAAAUUGUAUUUAAUGAAAAUCUCUAAAACAAUGCAAUAUUAUAUAAUUAUGAAUUGAAUAUUGUAAUUAUAUUUGUCGCAUAGAAAUCGAUAAGAGUAAACAUUAGUGUGGAUCUUGAUUUAAAUAAAAAUUUAAAUCAGUUUGUGAGUGACAAAAUUCAAAUUGAACGAAGUAAUUCCGAUAAAAAUCGACAAAGAACAAAGAUAUGAGACAUAUCAAUUCUUGGAAAAACCUCAAAUUGAUGAAUAACGGAUUUACUAUAUACAGGAUAAGAAUAAUGAUAUACAAUAUUACAUGAUCUUUUGUGCAUUUUAUAGAAGAUAUAUUUAGCUUAAUAAGAAGGAUACAUAUUUACGUAUUUUUUAAAUAUUUUGAACUAUGAUGAUCAUCUGUAUUUUACCGUAUUAGCAUGUCAAUCAAAGAUAAAUUAUAAGAUUACUUUUGGCAGAUGCAGAUUCAGAAUUGAAAAACUUUUGUGGAAACAGUUUUUCAUUUGGCACAUAAGAUCAGCAAAAAAUCUUAUUGAUUCUUUAAUUUUUGCGGAAAAAAAUUAUCUUUUUCGAGAAAAAAAAGUAUCUGUCUUACUCUAAAAUUUCGAACAACAGAAUUAUAAAGGACAAAUGUGUUUACACAUAACUACUUCAAUGGAUUAAAUAUAACUCGUACGACUUUUGGUGUGUUGCGGAACAGAUCUUAAUGCCAGAGAAAGAUUGACAGGAUAUACGGAUUCUUUAUUUUUCAAUAGAAAAUAAUUGGUUAAUAGUUGCAUUUUUUCUUGAGAUUCUAUUUAAAUAUUAUGCCGGGAGCAAUUAACUUUGCUAUAUAAUAAUCAACUAGUAAGAAAAUUAGUAAAACUAACAGUAAUGCCGGAACUGUUUUCUGAAUCUGACAGCAGUGACGAAGAACUUUGCAACUAUUUUUGUAUCUUAAACAAAACUUGUGUGCAUUAAACUGGAGUAAAAUUUAUCAUUUCGUUUAUUAAUGUUUCAAAUUUGUUUG